rnacentral:rRNA from 1 species
UACGUAGGGACCAAGCGUUGUUCGGAUUUACUGGGCGUAAAGGGCGCGUAGGCGGCGCGGUAAGUCACUUGUGAAAUCUCCGGGCUUAACUCGGAACGGCCAAGUGAAACUGUCAAGCUAGAGUGCGGAAGGGGCAAUCGGAAUUCUUGGUGUAGCGGUGAAAUGCGUAGAUAUCAAGAGGAACACCUGAGGUGAAGACGGGUUGCUGGGCCGACACUGACGCUGAUGCGCGAAAGCCAGGGGAGCAAACGGG